UGCUUAUCCUAAUCCCCGCAGCUGCCCGUGGCCCCUGGGGUUUGCUGGUGGAACAGAGCACGUGCUAGCCACUUCCCAGCAGGCCAUGGGUACAGCCAGGCACGCUCACGCUGGGGACGUGACUACAGACCC
ensembl:snoRNA